GACGAACGCUGGCGGCGUGCUUAACACAUGCAAGUCGAACGGAAAGGCCCUGCUUUUGUGGGGUGCUCGAGUGGCGAACGGGUGAGUAACACGUGAGUAACCUGCCCUUGACUUUGGGAUAACUUCAGGAAACUGGGGCUAAUACCGGAUAGGAGCUCCUGCUGCAUGGUGGGGGUUGGAAAGUUUCGGCGGUUGGGGAUGGACUCGCGGCUUAUCAGCUUGUUGGUGGGGUAGCGGCUUACCAAGGCUUUGACGGGUAGCCGGCCUGAGAGGGUGACCGGCCACAUUGGGACUGAGAUACGGCCCAGACUCCUACGGGAGGCAGCAGUGGGGAAUAUUGCACAAUGGGCGGAAGCCUGAUGCAGCAACGCCGCGUGCGGGAUGACGGCCUUCGGGUUGUGAACCGCUUUCGCCUGUGACGAAGCGUGAGUGACGGUAAUGGGUAAAGAAGCACCGGCUAACUACGUG
rnacentral:rRNA from 1 species